rfam:Triticum aestivum genome assembly, contig: Triticum_aestivum_CS42_TGACv1_scaffold_113123_2AS
UGGUUACUCCCUCCGUUCCGAAUUUUACUUGUCUUGGAUUUGUCUAGAUACGGAUGUAUCUAGACUCAUUUUAGUGUUAGAUACCUCUGUAUCUAGACAAAUUUAAGACAAGUAAUUUGGAACGGAGGGAGUACAAA